rnacentral:lncRNA from 10 species
ACCUGACCAGAAGCUGCACCCUGGGUCCGAGCUAGGGAAAGAGAAGCAGUCUGGGAGGGCUGCUGAUUGAGCACUUGCUACCUAGCAGGUGCUGUGCUCUACACACAUCACCUUUCUUCAUAACAACUGGUGAGACUGGUGUAUUUCCCAAUUUACCAGAGAGCAAACUGACACCCAAGAGAGGCUGGAUGUCUUGUUCAAUGCCAAACAGGUCUAAAAAAAUAAACUCUACGCUUUAAUUUCAUGCUCACCUCCACAUUUUUGAGUAUCUGUGUCUUGAUUUACAUAUUUUAUAUUGCUUAUCUAACAGUGCCGUCUCGUUAGGUUCAGUCACUGGUUCCUUGCUUUGUCUGUGUGGAGAGGUCAUGGUUCCCUGUUUACUGUUGUUUCUUGUGGAUGACAUCUAUUUAUUUCAGUCUUCUAUGUCUGACAGCUGGUGCUGGGUAGUUUGUGGGGAGGGGUGUCGUGGAUAUGAUAGUCCAAUCUCUUACCGUCUGCUUGGAGUUGUUUCACUUAUGUGUGGUCUUGGGAACUAUUUCAUCUUCAUAUUUGACUUCUGGGAUACUGCUGG